rnacentral:rRNA from 1 species
UAGUAUUCAAUUGUCAGAGGUGAAAUUCUUGGAUUUAUUGAAGACUAACUACUGCGAAAGCAAUUGCCAAGGAUGUUUUCAUUAAUCAAGAACGAAAGUUAGGGGAUCGAAGACGAUCAGAUACCGUCGUAGUCUUAACCAUAAACUAUGCCGACUAGGGAUCGGAUGAUGUUAAUUUUUUAAUGACUCA